GACGAACGCUGGCGGCGUGCCUAACACAUGCAAGUCGAGCGGAGUCGAUCGACGGAAGCCUUCGGGCGGAAGAUGGUUGACUUAGCGGCGGAUGGGUGAGUAACGCGUGGGCAACCUGCCUCGAAGACCGGGAUAACAGCCCGAAAGGGCUGCUAAUACCGGAUGUGGUCAAGGAUCCGCAUGGAUUUUUGAUUAAAGGGGAAACCCGUUUCGAGAUGGGCCCGCGUCCUAUCAGCUAGUUGGUGAGGUAAAAACUCACCAAGGCGACGACGGGUAGCCGGCCUGAGAGGGUGACCGGCCACACUGGAACUGAGACACGGUCCAGACUCCUACGGGGGGCAGCAGUGGGGAAUCUUCCACAAUGGGCGAAAGCCUGAUGGAGCGACGCCGCGUGAGCGAAGAAGGCCUUCGGUUGUAAAGCUCUGUCUGGAGGGACGAAGGAAGUGACGGUACCUCCGGAGGAAGCCACGGCUAACUACGUG
rnacentral:rRNA from 1 species